rnacentral:lncRNA from 10 species
CGUGGACACAAACAAUUGUCACGAAGUCCUGGAACAGUUGCGGAAGGCCCUCGUGACUGGACCUCCUGCCAAACAACUCGUUACAAAAAACUGAGGGUACCAGACUGCGCCAAAGCUUCAUGAGACCUGUCCUCAUCUGUGCAGAAAUGAGUGGCCGACUCUGGAACCCAGGCUGUUGCUUACCACCUUGGUGGUGAAACCUCCAUACUCUAGUCCUGAAGGGGCGAGGCCUUAAGCAUUAUCCAAUCAGGGACACUGGGCUGGAAACCGUCCAAUCAGACACCCAGCUGGAGCGAACAGGUCGACUUCCGAGUUUGGCGGGGCCUUUGUCUCUCACUGCACCUGGAGCUCCAGGUCUCAUCUUCACUACUCUGUGUCCUCUGCUGCUGGAGGCCCAGCCCUGUGACCUGACGGUUUUGGGAGAUCCACAGCUAAGACGCCAGGACCUCCUGGAAGCCUAGAAAUGGGAAUACAAAUAUCAUUUCUUCUGGAAUCUAACACACUGGCUUCAUUUUCAAAAUGCAUCACUUUAUUUUCCUUACAAGGCAGCAGCAUAUUAAACACGUG